UACAGAGGUCUCAAGCGUUGUUCGGAUUCAUUGGGCGUAAAGGGUGCGUAGGUGGCGUGGUAAGUCGGGUGUGAAAUUUCGGAGCUUAACUCCGAAACUGCAUUCGAUACUGCCGUGCUUGAGGACUGGAGAGGAGACUGGAAUUCACGGUGUAGCAGUGAAAUGCGUAGAUAUCGUGAGGAAGACCAGUGGCGAAGGCGGGUCUCUGGACAGUUCCUGACGCUGAGGCGCGAAGGCCAGGGGAGCAAACGGG
rnacentral:rRNA from 1 species